rnacentral:rRNA from 1 species
UACGUAGGGGGCAAGCGUUGUCCGGAUUUAUUGGGCGUAAAGAGCUCGUAGGUGGUUCGGUAAGUCGGAUGUGAAAUCUCCAGGCUCAACCUGGAGGGGUCAUUCGAUACUGCCGUGACUAGAGGUCGGUAGGGGAGUGUGGAAUUCCCGGUGUAGCGGUGAAAUGCGCAGAUAUCGGGAGGAACACCAAUGGCGAAGGCAGCUCGCUGGGACGUUACUGACGCUGAGACGCGAAAGCGUGGGGAGCAAACAGG